CGGUAGCUCAGCAGGAUAGAGCGUCGGAUUCCUAAUCCGAAGGUCAGAGGUUCGAAUCCUCUUCGGG
rnacentral:tRNA from 1 species